rnacentral:tRNA from 1 species
GAGGGUACAGCUAAAGUGGUAGAGCGCAUGCUUAGCUCGCAUGAGGCCCUGGGUUCAACCCCCAGUGCCUCCU